rnacentral:lncRNA from 1 species
AAAAACACUAAAAAUAAUUUAAAACACUAAAAAUUAAUACAAUAAAAUAAUAAAAUAUAAUAAAUAAAAAGAUAACUUACAAUACAAUUAAUUAAAAAAUACAAAUAACGUCAAAUAAAAAUUACACAACAAUUUUUAACCAAUACCACCACCACUUUGCCACAGCAACGCGUGGCCGGGCACAGCUAGUAAUUACUAUAAUUAUAUUCUUGCGUGGUAGUGUGUUGAGUUUUGUGAUCCCUUCCAACCCCAUGAUUCUAACAUCUGGAAUCAGGGCCACAUCUAACCUGGUUAAGAAUAUUCUUGCUACAUAUAUAUACUUCGCCACAGCAACGCGUGGCCGGGCACAGCUAGCGGCUCUAUAAAUAAUAAUAAUAAUAAUAAUAAUAAUAAUAAUAAUAAUAAUAAUUUAAUUUUGUACCCCGCCAUCUACCCAGAGGGACUCGGGGCGGCUUACAGAUAUAAAACCAGCAUACAGUAAUAUCAAAUACAAAAACACACAAAUAAAUUUAAAAGGCAUUAAAAAAAGGGUUUUUCACUCCAUAAAAGUGCACUUUUUAAACUCCAAAUUCUCAAUUUUAAUAGUCAAAGACAUUCGGUUGAGGGAUGCCUGAUCUUUGGUGGGGUAGUUGGACUUGGAGGAAUUUUUCUUAAUAAAGAUCACAUGUAUGACAAUAUUUGUAUUGGGUUUUGCAUUUGGAGACAUGUGAACAACACCAAUAUUGUCUUCAUUCCAAGUCUAGUACAUCAAUAAAAGCUCAUCCUCAUGCUGCUAAUCUAAUCAUAGUGUUCUUUCCAUCCAUUCAGAACCUCUGGAAAUUAGGUUACACUGAAUUAAAAGAUGUGAAGAGGGAGGGGAAAGAAAAGAAAGAAGAGGAAGAGCCUUUUUAUUGUAGACAACAAAAAUGACAUGUUAGCAAUCAGAUUCUAGACGCUAGACAAAGAAAUCAAAUUUGAUACUCUGCCAAGCUGCGCAAGUAGGAACCUUUUAGUAUUUCAGUUACAAAAAUAGGCAUUUCAUGGCAUGUUUUCACACAAAGAGUUGAAGAAAUCCAGGGAAUUGGCUUGUGGCUUCUUGCUCUCAGUGCUCAUUGGUCCUGUUGCAAUUUGGGCCUAUUCUUACCUUGAUGCUUGACACCCUAAAGUCCCAUCUUCAUGAUGUAGUCAGGGACCUACAGUAACUGAUUAAAUAGUACCAGGGAGGCUAAUGUUUGCACUCCACAACAAUGAGUAAACAAAGAAAGGAACAAA